GAUGAACGCUGGCGGCGUGCCUAAUACAUGCAAGUCGAGCGAAUGGAUUAAGAGCUUGCUCUUAUGAAGUUAGCGGCGGACGGGUGAGUAACACGUGGGUAACCUGCCCAUAAGACUGGGAUAACUCCGGGAAACCGGGGCUAAUACCGGAUAACAUUUUGAACCGCAUGGUUCGAAAUUGAAAGGCGGCUUCGGCUGUCACUUAUGGAUGGACCCGCGUCGCAUUAGCUAGUUGGUGAGGUAACGGCUCACCAAGGCAACGAUGCGUAGCCGACCUGGGAGGGUGAUCGGCCACACUGGGACUGAAACACGGCCCAGACUCCUACGGGAGGCAGCAGUAGGGAAUCUUCCGCAGUGGACGAAAGUCUGACGGAGCAACGCCGCGUGAGUGAUGAAGGCUUUCGGGUCGUAAAACUCUGUUGUUAGGGAAGAACAAGUGCUAGUUGAAUAAGCUGGCACCUUGACGGUACCUAACCAGAAAGCCACGGCUAACUACGUGCCAGCCGCCGCGGUAA
rnacentral:rRNA from 1 species